AUGCGGGACCUUCAUGCACAAUCUAGGUUACCGUGCGCUGUGAUAGGGGAUUUUAACGAGAUUUUGCUCUCAUCGGAGAAGGAGGGGGGUGCUGCCCGCCCUCACACUUGCAUCCAAGCUUUUCAGGAUGCGUUGUCUGACUGCUCUUUGGAAGAUUUGGGAUAUGAAGGGGACAAAUUCAAUUGGUUCCGAGGAGGUUUACGAGAGAGGCUGGACAGGACAGUUUCAAAUGCGAAAUGGCUGCUAAUGCACCCUUGGGUGGGUCUAUGCAACCUUGAGAUGGGAAGUCUGACCAUCGACCCAUUUGCUUGGAUACUAAUCACUUAG
rnacentral:rRNA from 1 species